AGGCGCAGGGAUAUCUGUGCCAAUUAACUGACUCACAUUCCUCACAGAAGUUACAAAACAGCAUUUCAAGCAGAAGCUGCAGAAACUGAAACAAAGACAAAGUCCAUCAAUCCAUUUCAAAACUGGUAUUUGCUAUUUCAGAUCAUCUGGUUUUUCUCUGCCAACUGAUAGGCAUGAACCAUUGGAGAGGUCACCUCAGAAGUAAUCAAAUGCUUAAUAGUUAGUGGAAGGCCCGCAGAGUAGCAGGACAUACAUCAGCAGUUGAAGAAGAGCAAUAUAACUUGGUCCAGCUAAGCAACAUGGCUUUGAAGAGAGUGUCUUUUAUGUGUCUGCUGUUCAUUGCUACAUCUGUCAUCAGCAUCUCUCAUGCUCAGAACCCACCGGCCUUCAGACGGAAGCAUUUGACCCUAUUGGACACCAUCGACCACAACAGAUGUAAUAGUGAAAUGAGAAACAAAUGGAUCGCAAUGACUAGAAAUGGCUGUAAAAAACUUAACACAUUCAUUCAUGCUCCUGAGGAGAUUAUCGAUGCCACAUGCACCAUGGGGAAAGUGCAUACCCUAAAGGGCCAAGCGUAUAAAAAAAGUAUCAGUAAAUUCAGGGUCACUAAUUGCAGACUCUCUGGGGAAUAUCCUAAUGGCUGUGAGUACAUGGCAGAAAAGACCGCCUGGAAAUAUAUAGUAAUCUCUUGUGAUCAGAAUAAUCAGGCGGUGCAUUUUGCAGGGACUCUGAACUGGUAGGAAUGAGAAAGUGGGGGAAGGAGCUUAUUCCUAAUAUUUUGGGGUGCUGUUGCCUCUUCUAUUGCUAAAGCUUCAUUCAUACUGUAGCCUAAGCAAAUUAUUUCGUGACGUAAGGUGCUGGAGCCCUCUACAACAAGGGGGCACUGCUCUCUUAUGGGUUUGGUAGUGGUUCUGGAGAGCAGCAAGGAGAUGAAGAAA